GUCUGAUUAGCUUGUUGGCGGGGUAACGGCCCACCAAGGCAACGAUCAGUAGGGGUUCUGAGAGGAAGGUCCCCCACAUUGGAACUGAGACACGGUCCAAACUCCUACGGGAGGCAGCAGUGAGGAAUAUUGGUCAAUGGGCGAGAGCCUGAACCAGCCAAGUAGCGUGCAGGAAGACGGCCCUAUGGGUUGUAAACUGCUUUUAUAAGGGAAUAAAGUGAGUCUCGUGAGACUUUUUGCAUGUACCUUAUGAAUAAGGACCGGCUAAUUCCGUGCCAGCAGCCGCGGUAAUACGGAAGGUCCGGGCGUUAUCCGGAUUUAUUGGGUUUAAAGGGAGCGUGCCCGGAGAUUAAGCGUGUUGUGAAAUGUAGACGCUCAACGUCUGCACUGCAGCGCGAACUGGUUUCCUUGAGUACGCACAAAGUGGGCGGAAUUCGUGGUGUAGCGGUGAAAUGCUUAGAUAUCACGAAGAACUCCGAUUGCGAAGGCAGCUCACUGGAGCGCAACUGACGCUGAAGCUCGAAAGUGCGGGUAUCGAACAGGAUUAGAUACCCUGGUAGUCCGCACGGUAAACGAUGGAUGCCCGCUGUUGGUCUGAACAGGUCAGCGGCCAAGCGAAAGCAUUAAGCAUCCCACCUGGGGAGUACGCCGGCAACGGUGGAACUCAAAGGAAUUGACGGGGGCCCGCACAAGCGGAGGAACAUGUGGUUUAAUUCGAUGAUACGCGAGGAACCUUACCCGGGCUUGAAUUGCAGAGGAAGGAUUUGGAGACAAUGACGCCCUUCGGGGUCUCUGUGAAGGUGCUGCAUGGUUGUCGUCAGCUCGUGCCGUGAGGUGUCGGCUUAAGUGCCAUAACGAGCGCAACCCCUCUCCUUAGUUGCCAUCAGGUUAAGCUGGGCACUCUGGGGACACUGCCACCGUAAGGGGUGAGGAAGGUGGGGGUGACGUCAAAUCAGCACGGCCCUUACGUCCGGGGCUACACACGUGUUACAAUGGCAGGUACAGAGAGACGGUUGUACGUAAGUACGAUCAAAUCCUUAAAGCCUGUCUCAGUUCGGACUGGGGUCUGCAACCCGACCCCACGAAGCUGGAUUCGCUAGUAAUCGCGCAUCAGCCAUGGCGCGGUGAAUACGUUCCCGGGCCUUGUACACACCGCCCGUCAAGCCAUGAAAGCCGGGGGCGCCUAAAGUCCGUGACCGUAAGGAGCGGCCUAGGGCGAAACUGGUAAUUGGGGCUAAGUCGAAACAAGGUA
rnacentral:rRNA from 1 species